rnacentral:lncRNA from 1 species
UGUGCUAAAAAUUGCUGAGAUUUCACCAUAAGAUACCUGAGAGAAAGAGGAGCUGAACAUCGAUUUGGGGCAUGAGGAUCUGAGGUGGGUGGCCAAGUUGUUGGCAUGUGAGUUUAGAAGAGAUCAUCUCCUCUUGGGUGAGAUUUCUAGGCCCUAAGCAUUAGGGUUUUUGGGAGAGAGAGAUCCAAAUUAGAAAAAGGAGUUUCUCUAACUUUCUUCCACCAUCUACAUCCUCCUUUAGUCCAUCUUUAACAUCAAAAGGGUUUGAGUUGAUUGAAGAAAGAGAAUCAGAUCAACAGUCUAGAAGUCUUCUACAUGAGUUAGCACUCUUAGGAAGGCUGAUCGGUGCUCGAGGGCUUCU